rnacentral:rRNA from 1 species
GGAGUUAGCCGGUGCUUCUUCUGUGAGUGAUGUCCUUCCUGCCGGCUAUUAACCCGCAGGCCUUCUUCCUCACUGAAAGUGCUUUACAACCCGAAGGCCUUCUUCACACACGCGGCAUGGCUGGAUCAGGGUUGCCCCCAUUGUCCAAUAUUCCCCACUGCUGCCUCCCGUAGGAGUCUGGGCCGUGUCUCAGUCCCAGUGUGGCUGAUCAUCCUCUCAGACCAGCUACGGAUCGUCGCCUUGGUGAGCCGUUACCUCACCAACCAGCUAAUCCGACAUAGGCUCAUCCGAUAGCGCGAGGCCCGAAGGUCCCCCGCUUUCCCCCGUAGGGCGUAUGCGGUAUUAGCCUGGGUUUCCCCCAGGGUUAUCCCCCACUACCGGGCAGAUUCCUAUGCAUUACUCACCCGUCCGCCGCUCGCCACCAGGGAGCAAGCUCCCCGUGCUGCCGCUCGACUUGCAUGUGUAGCUCGCCGCCACGCGUCAUCUGAGCGAGAUACAACUACUCGA